GGAUUGUGGCUCGAUGGUGGAGAGCUUGCCUAGCAUGUGUGAGGUCCUGGGUUCAAUCCUCAGCACCA
rnacentral:tRNA from 1 species